GACGAACGCUGGCGGCGUGCUUAACACAUGCAGGUCGAACGGAAAGGCCCUGCUUUUGUGGGGUGCUCGAGUGGCGAACGGGUGAGUAACACGUGAGUAACCUGCCCUUGACUUUGGGAUAACUUCAGGAAACUGGGGCUAAUACCGGAUAGGAGCUCCUGCUGCAUGGUGGGGGUUGGAAAGUUUCGGCGGUUGGGGAUGGACUCGCGGCUUAUCAGCUUGUUGGUGGGGUAGUGGCUUACCAAGGCUUUGACGGGUAGCCGGCCUGAGAGGGUGACCGGCCACAUUGGGACUGAGAUACGGCCCAGACUCCUACGGGAGGCAGCAGUGGGGAUUAUUGCACUAUGGGCGGAAGCCUGAUGCAGCAACGCCGCGUGCGGGAUGACGGCCUUCGGGUUGUAACCCGCUUUCGCCUGUGACGAAGCGUGAGUGACGGUAAUGGGUAAAGAAGCACCGGCUAACUACGUG
rnacentral:rRNA from 1 species